rnacentral:tRNA from 2 species
GGCGGCAUGGCCGAGCGGUAAGGCGCGGGACUGCAAAUCCCUUUUUCCCCAGUUCAAAUCCGGGUGUCGCCUC